GAAGGUAUAGCUCAGUGGUAAAGCACGUGCUUAGCAUGCAUGAGGUCUUGGGUUCAAUCCCCAGUACCUCCA
rnacentral:tRNA from 1 species